rnacentral:antisense_RNA from 1 species
ACUAGAUGACCCGCCCCCUCGGGCUGUCGGGGGGUCGAGGCAGUGGAGGGUUCGUGAUGCCAGCUCACGGAGGGAAUCCAGGGAAUUAGGUAAUGAACGGUCUACCCAUGAAGGGGACCGAUUAGUGCCUCUCGCCUGGUCCUGAAGACCUUUAAAUUAUUCUUUCAGCUGAUGCCAAGAGCCUCUUUUUGGCCAGCACUUACUAAGCACCAGAGACACAGCGAGAAGCAGAAGCAUACGAGCACAUCAGCGUGAUUCUGCUGUGAUGAAGGGCAAGAGAGGGCUCACUUUCCGGGGUGACAUUCAAGCUAGCCCCGAGGCCUGAGCAGGACCCGCCCAGGGGAAGAUCUGGAGGAAAGCCAUCUGAACAUACAACAAGAGCAAAGGCCUGGUGGAGUCAGGACCACCUUGGCUGCCAGGUGGAAUGGUGGAAUAACUCAGGAGUCUGUCAGGUCUCUGAGAUGUCAAACGGGCUUGGCACACACCCAGGAGCUCAAUGCUGCUGGGAGCUGAGCAGCUGGGAGCAAGGAGCCCUCAUCCCCACUGAUGAAGAGGCCAGCCCAGGCUCUAGGCUAAGCGGGCCUGUGAUUAUAAACAGCAGUGUCUCCCUGGACAAGUUUCUUGACCCCUGAGAAGAAUGUUAGACCAUCAACUUUGUGAGGGGAGAGGCAGUCUCCAACUUUUUUCCUGCUCAGUCCUUAUUGCAUACUCUUGGAGAAGGUCUACUGACUUGUUCUCAGAUGCCCCACGGCUCAGCCAACCACCCAUCCAGCAGAGCAUUCAAAAGGCAUCCUGGAAGGAAUGAGGGCCACCGUUCUGCCAGGCCCCUAUUUUUUUUUUAGAGGAGUCUCACUCUGUCACCCAGGCUGGAGUGCAAUGGCACGACCUCUGCUCACUGCAAGCUCUGCCUCCCAGGUUCAAGCGAUUCUCCUGUCUCAGCCU